GAUGAAGAACGCAGCGAAAUGCGAUAAGUAGUGUGAAUUGCAGAAUUCAGUGAAUCAUCGAAUCUUUGAACGCACAUUGCGCCCCAUGGUAUUCCGUGGGGCAUGCCUGUUCGUGCGUCAUUUACCCCCUCAAGCUCCGCUUGGUGUUGGGCGUCUGUCCCGCUUCGCGCGCGGACUCGCCCCAAAGGUAUUGGCAGCGGUCGUGCCAGCUUCUCGCGCAGCACAUUGCGCUUCUCGAGGCACCGGUGGGCCCGCGUCCAUCAAGCUCACCCCCCCAGUUUGACCUCGGAUCAGGUAGGGAUACCCGCUGAACUUAAGCAUAUCAAUAAGCGGAGGA
rnacentral:misc_RNA from 1 species